AUGUGCUGUGGUAUAAAAAUUGGCUAGCGGUAUUGAAAGGUUUCAUCUCAGUAUAAUUUAUAAAAACUUCUACAUCACCAGAAUAUAGUUUACACAUUACUAGAAUAUACUAAUGGUUCAAGUGCGUAGUAACUUAAAAUCGUUUACUCAAAAAGUUCAAUAACAUAUUUUAUUCAUCAUAAGGAACAGUUGAAAUGUCAUUUUGUCAGUAAUAAUGCAUAUUCUUUUUAAGCAGUUAUUUUUUUUGCGAAAUUUUUAGACAGCCUAUUUAUUUUAACUGUUUUGUUUUGCUAUUGUUCCAUAACUGAUGAUCACAUAGAAUGAAAUGUUUUUGAAUAUGAGUUAUUAAUUCUAAGGUUGAUGAAAUUAUACUGAGAACCUGAUAUUUUAUUGCUUAAUAUCCGAAAAGUCAAGGACAUUUGUUAAAAUUUUAUAGGGCUACAAUAUGUUUAAAAAAAAUUUUUUUAUUUGAAAUGCCAUUUUA